UUUUUUUUUUUGUUUUUUUGUUUGUUUUUUUUCCCUUUUUUUUUCCCGCGACCCGAACGAUGCUGAUUUCCGAUCACGCUUUACUUGAAAUCCGAGCACUUGUUUAGUUUUCACGUUUGAAAUUGCUGGAACUGAGAAUAAAACAAAAACUCUAGGUCAAAUCAAACAUUUUAAAAAUAUAAAAAAAACUGUAGAUGCCUUUCUUUAGUGUGCAUGGGUUUGAUGCUUGCGAUCACAGUAUCACGUUGGGGUUUUUUUUUUUUUACUCGGAUAUGAAUGCACCGGUGAUUAAAAUCUGAUUUAUCAGAUCUGAGGUGCGGAACGAUCCGACUGGUCUGAUUUCAACUGAGCCUGUCUGAUGUAUUAUUUAGUUAGUUUUUUUUUUUUAACUGUUCUUUCUAGAACUUUCUUGUUUGUUUUUGAAGCUCAGGGUUUUGGUCAGAAGUUCAAGUUUAUAGGCGUGUCUCUUGCAUGUCGCCAAACGACGAAUUUUUCAUUAUGAACUUGUGCCAAUAAUUCGUUUCAUAUCACAAUAGUGUCUGACAAUAUUAUCACGAUGGUGUCGCCGUUCUCCCGUUUGAGGACACGAUAACGAUGAUCUUAACGAGCGUGGAAUCACAUAUCAGCACGGACCUACUUAAGAACAAUUGAAAGUAACCUCCAAGCAUUUCAAAAAACACAACAAAAGCUGUCUAGCUGUCUUAUUUUUUUUUGUUUUUUUUUUAAGAUUAGUGGUGAAAGUGUAAAACUGCGAUAUUGCGACUAAACGUUUCACUGUAUUAAAUUUCCAGACGAUCCGAUAACUUUUUAGCGUUUGUUUUUGUUUAAACGGUGCUAAAUUUUCACCUGUCGUCUUUUUUUUUUUUUUUUUUUUUUAAACUUUUUUUAUUGUAUGUUGUACAGCUAACGCUAGCUAGCAGGAUUUCUAGCAUCCGCAUCAUGUGUUUACGCUAAAUUUAGCAUUCAAAUAGCAUUUGUGUUACAACAGGAGCAACUUGUGACGGUCUACGAACACGAGCACGUGAUCUUUCCACAAUGCGUCACUUCUUUCGUUUCUCGUAAACGGUCGCACCACAAUUUAGCGUAAAACGCUCAUCGACUUUAAUCGGCCGAAACGAACUCAUUUGGCACGGCAGCGAUGUAAUAUUUAAUUGUAGAACUUUGUGUAAAUUUAGUCAAAAAAAAAAAAAAAAAUGUAUUAUAGUCGCUUGUCGUUUUUUUUUUUUUUUUUUUUUUUUUUUUUUUUUUUUCACGAUUUGUUUACUUGCGAUAUUAUUGGCUAUGUAGACAGCUACGAGACAAACAUCCGCACGCAUAUAGAUCUAUAUUUUUCGAGGAUACUGCGCGUUUUAAAUGCGUUUCUCGAAGUCCUACUGAUUUGAAAUGCCGCAACGGGAGAGAUUGUCGCGCCACAUCAACAAAAUCGCGGUAUCGUAGGCUUUAUAUACAAGGUCGUGAUAACGUGGUAAAACUGUGAUCAGUUAUCGUGAUAGGAAAUGAAAAUAUUGGCACACGUCUUCACGUCGCGGUGUGCGCGAGUCCAGCCGGAGUCCGGUAUUCAACCUUUUCGUGUUCAGCCUGGAGACCAAAAUUAAAAAAAAAAAAACAUUUCACGUUCGUCACGUCUUGUCCUUUCUUCUCCGUCACUCUGCGGAAAGCCGAUUUAACCCGAAAACGCCGCGUGCCUCGGGAACGAUGUUCAGAAUUUUGAAACACGGAGGCUUCUAGCAAAACCGAGGUCACGCUUCAACUCCAUUUCAGAGCAAAGGGAACUUUUUAUCAUGGUUCAUUAUCUCAGUAAUUACGAUAUCAUUUCAAGAGUUCAUGUAAAGGCCCCCCCUUUUCCAAAAUAAAAACACUAACUUGAAAACAACCUUUAAUUGAGAAAUAAAUAGGUUAUGAGGCAAUUAUUAUUCAAAAAAAAAUGUUUUAAAGAUAACAUCGAUUGUAUUUUCGCUUCUCCUUUUUACUUUGUUGUUUGUUUGUUUUUUUGGUUUUUUUUUAAAGCACGCGAAUGCUGACAUUGAUUUCGUUUCAUUUUCUGGACCAGAAACUUCAAAAUGUUUCCCUUCAUUUUUUAUUUUAUUUCUUUAAUUUAUUUUUCACUUCCUUGUUGUGUUGUUUUUUGUGUGUGUCCCCCCCCCCGUCAUAUAAUGGAGGGUUAUUUAGAAUUUGCAUGACACACGAGGUAGACCUUUUUUUAUUUUUGUACUUUGUUUGUUUGUUUUUUGUUUUUUUUAAUAAGUGCUGGAUUAUUUUAAAGAAGUCCUGUCGUCACUGUGGAGUGUUUAAAUCUUUUUUGUUUUGUUUUGUUUGUUUUUCCGUCCCCUCCCUGAAGGGAUCGUUACAGAUCUGUACAUUUUUCUACAUUCGAACAAUCAUAAUGUACUGUAACCGGUGUUUAUUUUGCUAUUGAAACAAAGUGGCUAAAAUGACCGUAUACCUUUUUAUAUACACGUCACGCGGACUGGAAGUAAUAUUUCAUAGAUUUAUUAUUUUUUAUUAUUAUUAUUAUUUUAUUUUAUUUUUUGGGGAAUAUUUUUGACCAGACUCUGUUUUUAUACGAACUUGUCACCGCGCAUGAAUUAAAAGUAGGAAUGCGUGCCGAUCGCGUAAUCGAUCAUACGAUGUACCGCGGCGCUCGACUCGUAAGCUCUUCCUCGACGCCGGCUUUUCAUUCACGUCCGUCUCCUGGGACAAAUUUCAAGACGUCCGGCGCAGGUAAAGAUAGAACUCCUCGCUCAGACUGAGGGAGUAUUUAUAAACGUAGAGCAGCUUCAAUUUGUUUUUGUUUUGUUUUUUUUUUUACACGGAGUAUUGAUGUAACUCGCACUCUAAAUAUUGACUAAAAGUUAUGGUUUUAAUUACUUUAUUCAUUAUUUCACGAUGGCCGAUUGGUGUCCGGUCAAAUAUCGAUUUGAAGGAGGAGGCUGUCUCCUGCUAUGUAGGCACCAUUCUUGAGCAAGUUUUGCUUUACUGAGAGAAAAGUUCCUCUUAUUUGUAAGUGUAUUGCGAUAUAUACAUUUUGCAUUAUAUAUAUAUAUAUAUAUGUAUAUUUUUAUUUUCACGUACCACUCUGCUGGAGAGCAGGAUUAUGAGAUGGCCUUCAUGGAAAUGUCCCACAAUGAGGAUCGUUGCCUGCCUUAUUAUUUUCGUAUGAACGAUUAUCCAUGAACACCUUUUGUGAAAUUUGGACGUUUAUUUCUACUGCCAUGGAGACGUGCAAUCAGAUUGUACCUCUGUAUGCUGUAUUCCUUCAUAACGCAGACGACUACUUCUUCCUCUUAUUAAUAUUAUUAUUAUUAUUAUUAUUAUGAUUGUGGUAAUUUAAUAUUUUUAGUCAAAUCGGGUAACAAGUUUCGGCGCCCCCCCCCCACCAGUUAUGAAGUGAAUGUACAGACAAUCCGUCACUCCAGUCCGUCCUCGACGUGCUUUUCUUCCAAACGUAUGACAGGACGGAAACGCACCUUGCGGAGAGUUGACGCUCGUCAUCCCUUAGCGCACUUUAGACUUUUUUUUUUUUUUUUUUUUUUUUUUUUUUUUUUUUAAAUUAAAUUUUAUUUUAAAGGUUCGUUUCAUUUCUUCAUUCUUCUGACUGGAACGAAUUGUGCAAUAGUGCGCGAUGACGGUUGCCAGUGUGAAGACCGUGGUAUUCCCCGCCCCCGUUCCCCUUACAAGAGGACUCGGUUGGAGUUAGCUACGUCCUCCUGUACAUAGCCGCUGCAGCGGUAAUGUAUUCGUUACCGUAUUUUGUUUACUAUUCCGAUUUUACAGCGCGACGGUGGGUUAAUUUUCGACUUCGGAAAUUCGAUCACGCGGUUUGUCAAGCGCCUGUUUGGCCGAUGAUGCCGCUUUUUACAAACAAUCGUGACCAAAAAGUUGGAAGUAAUACUUGCCUGCUUCAAUGUCGUUCCAUUUUAAAAGUUAAUAAAGUUUUAUUAGCGUCGAUUAUUUUAAUUGCCGGCCUUUUUUUUGUUUGUUUGUUUUCCUUCCAAAUUUGUCCAAAGACGAUUUAAUAAAUCAACAUGUUAAAGUACUCAGAAAUAAAAAGUCCGGUUGGUGGGUUGCACUGUCGCUGUCGGCUUAUUUAACCGCACGAUGACGCACGAUGGCGAUCUUGCGUUGCCGCGUUUCAUCUUUAUUGAUUUUUUUUUUUUUAAACCCAAUUUGGCGAGCGUGUCGUGUUUUGGGAAUGGCCAGCGUCUUCACACAGCUCCCUGUAAAGCGCAGAGUGAGACUUUGUACAGAUUUCUGAACACGUUUUGCGGAAUGUUUUACGAAUAUUAGAAAAUCGUCUUCACUGCCAGUUUUGUCACGUGACCGAUGAACAGAUUAACACCGUCGAAACCGAACAAGACCCAUGCGAGGAGAUGAUCAGGACCCGGAGCCCUGAGGGACACGCACUGCCUGUUUUUAUCACCGUUUUCCACUCCUCACCGAGAGUUCCGAGUGGCUUCCAUCCAAUCACGUCCAUUCCUGUAGUUUCCUGCGAGCUGAAGACGAGGGACAGACUCCGUCUCUCUGAUGGCUCAGACGUUUUCCUUUUCGAAACCUUUUUUUUUUUUUUUUUUUGGUUGUUUUUGUUUUUUUUUAAUGAAAUGUUUCCACUUGUCUUGUUUUGACUGCCAUGUAAUGUCUGAUCAUUCCAAUCCUUAAAUAAACAAAAAGUUGACAAUGAAGGACGUCUGGCUGCUUGUUAUAUUGUAUGUUUUAUUGUUUAUAUGUAAUGUAUUUAUAUAGAAGUGUUAUCGUAUCUGUGUGUAUAUACACAUUGCUCUGCUGAGGUCACAUCACCUGGCCGAUUCCAUAUGGCUGCCCGGUACCGUAAGUGUUUGAAAUAAACAUGACUACUCUUCGUGCAUCCCUCUAGAACCCCUCAAAGGGGUUCUUUAUUUUCUCCUUAUGGGUAAAGAUUCCAUGUGUGAUUAAUUUCAGAAAAGGUUUGAAGCAGAACCCCUUUUGACACCUAGAACCUCCAGCAGUCCAAAGAACUUUAAAAAAAUAAAUAAAUAAAUAAAGUAUGGCGUUUACAUCAGAGCAAUAGCGCCGUCUGCUGUUGAUGAGGUGUGUGUGUGUUUUGAUAUUAACUUCGCUUUGAGGAAGGUGCUGUGUAUGCUGAGACCUCGUCAACAACUGGGGACGUCUUCACUUCGCCUUGGACUUGACUCUGGGACUCUUGGUUCUCUGAGGACCUGGAGGAGGAAGACUGGAAGUGUCAGGUGGGGGCGCACUUGUGCUAAAAGUUGUAGAAUAUAAAUUAAUCAGUUGUGUCCAAAUUAUGAAUUUCUGCCUCAUAAAAUCAAUUUUGUGUUUUAUAGGCCACAGUGGACACACCGGCUCAGGGGCAACAUACUCCACUUGGUGCUGCACCUGAAAAGCAACAGAAAGCAGGAGUUGCAGUUGGUCGCCAGGGACGAUGCAAAGCAUUGUGGGAAAUCUGGUUGCACCAAUCAACAAAUGAUGUCACUCGAUAUUAACAUGCCAGCAUUUUGAUUCAGGAUUAAUAGACAUGGAGAUGCAUGAAUCUUUAAACAUUCUGAGAAUUCAGCAUUUGUUAGUGGCUAGCCUCUUAAUAGUGUUUAGCGUUUUCUUUCUUCUGUAUCUUCCUGUAAAGAUAAAACCCUAGUGCGUAUGCUAAUGUUGAAACAAUUUUUUUUUUUUUGUCUCAGAACUGUCCUUUCAGUAAAGGCUGUGGGUUUGUCAUAUUCCCGUUUUGUAUACACUCCAUUUGUAUUGUCUUGUCAUGAAAUGUUUUCUUUCUUAGCAUAAUUUUUAUGCUAUACAAAUGUGUGUGUGUGUAUAUAUGUAUGUUUAUAUACGUGUGUG
ensembl:lncRNA